AGCAUUUAAGAAACUUCAAAAGUGCAGUACAUUUUAGUAUUAAGUUUCAGUACAGUUAGGAAAGUUAAUUUCAAUAAAUUAAGCAAAUGGCCCUCUAGGAUAAGGGGAAAACAUGAAGAUGAAAAACAAGGAAACCACUUUUGCUGUAAUGUCUCCAUUUACUUCUCAGGAUCCUCAGAGAGCAGGACGACGAGACUGGUUGUGUAACUCCACCCUUGAGAAGAACUGCCAGGAUCGUUGUUUAUGAGCGUGACCCAAAGGCUGGAACAGCUUCCUUACCUACAGAGUGUUGUAAUCCCGGAAAUACCGUGGGAUGUCUUCACCAACAUCUCCUUCCCAUCAACACCGCGUUCACUGCGAAGAGCAUCCCGGGAGAUACAGGACUGAGAAAUUAGGAUGGCAGAUAAUGAUCCCAUGGGCUUCAAGCAUUUCCCUCAAUAAAGUCAUGGCCACCAAGGGUCAGCCAGGAAGAUGGAUGUACCUUAGUAAAAGUGAGUCAUUCACUGAACCUAGGCCAAACUCUGAAGCAAAUCUGGGCCAGUUUAUUGCCUCGGGAGGAAACCUGGUUUUUGCAUGAAUUAGAUGUGAAAAUAAGCAGAGCCUGACUGACAUCUUCUCUGAAUUCCAUCUGUAAGGGUAAAACCCAGCGGGCAAGAGCCUCAGGCAUGGCAAAAAUGAGGAGGGGAAAAUGAGGUUUCCUGUCUCCCCUCCAAGAACCAAAGACACACGUUACUCAAACUUAGUGUAAAUUGUCAAUUAUUCAUAUGCUAAUUAACCAAUGUUUAUAGAAUGUCCUAUAUAUGUAAAUCGGAGUAAAUAUGCUUACAUUUUU
rnacentral:lncRNA from 7 species